rnacentral:rRNA from 1 species
GACGAACGCUGGCGGCGUGCUUAACACAUGCAAGUCGAACGGUCCUGUUUUUGAAGCGCUUCGGGCGUGGAGGGAGCGGGUUAGUGGCGCACGGGUGAGUAAUGCGCGAGGACCUGCCCGCGGGAGGGGGACAGCAGUUGGAAACGGCUGGUGAUACCCCGUAAGCCGGGAGGUAAAAGGGCGGAGACGCCCGCCUGCGGAUGGGACUCGCGUCCUAUCAGCUAGUUGGUGAGGCAACGGCUCACCAAGGCGACGACGGGUAGCCGGCCUGAGAGGGUGUCCGGCCACACUGGAACUGAGACACGGUCCAGACUCCUACGGGAGGCAGCAGUGGGGAAUUUUGGGCAAGUGGGGGAGACCCUGACCCAGGCGACGCCGCGUGAGGGACGAAGGCCCUUGGGUCGUAAACCUCUUUUGCAGGGGAAGAAGAAGAUGACGGUACCUUGCGAACAAGUCCCGGCUAACUACGUG